GGCUCGGAGGGGCGGCUUGGGGGCUGGGUAGGGAGAAAGAGAGGCAGAUGAGAACUCUUAGGAACAACACAAACAACUAAACUGAAACCCACCGGAGAGAAGCACCUUUCUCUUGUCCUGAUGGAGAAGUUCAAAGCCCCAAGACUGCUCUGUAGCCCAACCGGGUACAGAUCACCUGCAGGCUUGAGCCCACACUGCCAGGGCCUUGGCUGUUCCCAGGCAUGGAUAAAGGAACUUUCUGCGUGUGGAUGUAACGAAUGCGCAUGUCAGUACUCACUCGUUGAAACAGAAGUCACCGAACUCCAC